AGGGUUAAUAGGUCUGCUGCAGCAUGGCGCAAAUCUUGGUUAGGGUUUCAACCUUUCCUCUAUAAAUAACGUGAUCUCCUUCAAUCUUCUUCACUGAUAGAUUAGGGUUUUUGAUAUCGGCGGCGAAAUAUCUGCUUUUCGUGACGAUGCCGCAGCUUCGACGUUCGUCUCUUCCCUUGUUCUUGUUUCAUUUAUUGUGAUAUUUUUAUUUCCGAGGAUUCCUGUCUGUUGCAUGUAUCGGUAAACGAAGUGCGUUUAUUCCUUGCAAAGAAAAGUUUCGGUUUUAAAAUUUGUUUUUGGCUCAUCCUUCGGAGUCUAGGUGUGUAGGGGAUAAAAGGAAUGCUGCACGGUGCACCCCGGGCUUCUCUGAGACAUUCCGUGAAGGUGGAAGCCCCAAUGCUCGUGCUACAUUUAACUGCCGUUCAGUGUUGCAGUUCUGUCGAUUUUUCUACAUCUGAUCUGUGUCAAUGUAACGGCUAAAUCUAUCAAUUUCUGAUCUUUCAAGAAGCCUGUGAUGAAACAUCCAAAUUAUGGAGGUGCAGAGGGCUCCAAGUCCCUGUUUUGCAGGGUGAACCUCUUGUAGCUGCUGCAUUCAGAUGACAUUUCUGGAUUUUCUGAGGCUUUUUAUUUCGAGUAACUAUUGUUAUUUUGCUUGUGCAAUUAAAUAGUUCUGAGUGUUCGUUUAUAUUCAUGAUAGGCUUUGUUGUUUUGUUAAUUGCAUUCUGAACAACAUCUAACUUUUAAUAUACUCACUUGGAUUUGCAGAUUUAAAAUUAUAAUUUAUUUGUGUUAAAUGAGAUGCCUGUGAUGACACAUCCAAAUUAUGGAGGUGCAGAUGGCUCCAAGUCCCUGUUUUGCAGGGUGAACCUCUUGUAGCUGCUGCAUUCAGAUGACAUUUCUGGAUUUUCUGAGGCUUUUUAUUUCGAUUAACUAUUGUUAUUUUGCUUGUGCAAUUAAAUAGUUCUGAGUAUUCGUUUAUAUUCAUAAUAGGCUUUGUUGUUUUUUUAAUUGCAUUCUGAACAUCAUCUAACUUUUAAUAUACUCACUUGGAUUUGCAGAUUUAAAAUUAUAAUUUAUUUGUGUUAAAUGAGAUGCCUGUGAUGACACAUCCAAAUUAUGGAGGUGCAGAUGGCUCCAAGUCCCUGUUUUGCAGGGUACAAUUUUUGGUAACUGAGUGCAAGCAUUUUAUCUUGUGCCAAGGAUGAUUUGUCUGCAAAAUGGAUGUGCUGUGGAACCAAGUCUCUGGUACCAGGAGAACCUAUUUGGGAAAACAACAUUUAAUAUGACAUAAGCGUACAUUUCUGAGGCGCAAAUUUGAAUUUUUUUUAUUUCUAUUUUUCUUUUUACAGUUUUGCUGAAAACACUGAGGGUUGUCUAUUUAAUUGUUUGUAUUCCAUUGAAAUUUGUUCGAUUGCGUUUUUCCAAAUUUUCCAUUAAUAAGCUUGACGUACCAGAGUUCUUACUAUCCAUCUGUUGCUCCUGAUCUUUAGUACUGAUGGCUGAAAAACUCUCAAAUGCUGUGUUGCCAUCAGCUUGAGCUCAUGAUUUUAUGGGCUGCGAGUUAAAUUACAACACUACAUUUUUUCUUCAUUGUAAUUUUGAUUUUGUAUGCCAUUGAACUAAUAAAUAUUGUAAGAACUCAGUGAUUUGUCUAUUUCCUUUUAUUGUAA